CAGUAGCCGCUGUAAUACGAAGGGUGCAAGCGUUAAUCGGAAUUACUGGGCAUAAAGCGUGCGUAGGCGGUGAGUUAAGUCUGCUGUGAAAUCCCCGGGCUCAACCUGGGAAUGGCAGUGGAUACUGGCUCGCUAGAGUGUGUCAGAGGAUGGUGGAAUUCCCGGUGUAGCGGUGAAAUGCGUAGAGAUCGGGAGGAACAUCAGUGGCGAAGGCGGCCAUCUGGGACAACACUGACGCUGAGGCACGAAAGCGUGGGGAGCAAACAGGAUUAGAUACCCCAGUAGUCCCUGUCUCUUAUAA
rnacentral:rRNA from 1 species